rnacentral:lncRNA from 1 species
AACAAGACUGGAGAAGCUCAAAGAAUUGAGUUCGAAAAAAAAUGGAGAAAGAUUAUCAGGCGUUAAUGAAGACGGAAGAAAGAACCAUAAGAGAACUGAGCCAAACAUUAGGUUAUGAAGAAAAGCUUGGGAAAGAAUCCAUGAUAAUGGCAAAAUCAAGGUGAUAUUGAUUUUCUUCCAAUAUAUUUUUUUUCAUAUUGCUUUUAUAACUUUUAAUUUAAUUAUUCUUUUUUUGAUAUGCAACAAUUUUGACCCGCGUUUUAUUAUGGAAAAG